CACAUUUGCAUGGACGGCCCCUCCCCUGGCAGAGGAUGGGGAGAAAAGGAGGCCUGGGCAGCCCAGCCCCACUGUGGGCUCAGGGGCUGUGUGCACCAUGGCCUGGACUCCUCUCCUCCUCGUGCUCCUCUCUCACUGCACAGGUUCCCUCUCCCAGCUUGUGCUGACUCAGCCGCCCUCCCUCUCUGCAUCUCCCGGAGCAUCAGCCAGACUCACCUGCACCCUCAGCAGUGGCUCCAGUGUUGGCGGCUACUACAUAUACUGGUUCCAGCAGAAGCCAGGGAGUCCUCCCAAGUUCCUCCUGUGGUAUAAAUCAGACUCAGAGAAGUACCAGGGCUCCGGGAUCCCCAGCCGCUUCUCUGGAUCCAAGGACGCCUUGGCCAACGCAGGGCUCCUGACCAUCUCUGGGCUGCAGCCUGAGGACGAGGCUGACUAUUACUGUGCUACACAUGAAGGUAGCGGGAGCAGCUUCAGCUAUUCACAGUGA